GAAGGAUGGCAGAGUGGUCGAAUGCGCCGGACUCGAAAUCCGGUAUACGGUCAUACCGUAUCGUGGGUUCAAAUCCCACUCCUUCC
rnacentral:tRNA from 1 species